rnacentral:rRNA from 1 species
GUCCACGCCGUAAACGAUGAAUACUAGUUAUUGGGGGUAUUGACUCCCUCAGUGACGCAGCUAACGCAUUAAGUAUUCCGCCUGGGGAGUACGGUCGCAAGACUAAAACUCAAACAAAUUGACGGGGGCCCGCACAAGCGGUGGAUUAUGUGGUUUAAUUCGAAGCAACGCGCAGAACCUUACCUAGGCUUGAACUCCUACGAAUCCGAUGUAAUGGUCGGAGUGUCCGCAAGGAAAUGUAGUGAGAGGUGCUGCAUGGCUGUCGU